AUAAGAAUGACUAUUUCGGUACCAGUGACCGCUACAAAGCGUAGACUUUGUUUUUAUCGAGUCAAAUCGCAUGGAAAUUAUCUUCCUCCUCGCUCUCGAUGCCAGCGCGUUGGAACCCUAAAAGCCCCAUCGAUAGGAACAAGAUGCGGGUUUUGGCGAGUCUCACAUGGCGUCUUUUACUCCGCCUCCUCCUAUCGAGAAGAAUGACGUGAAGCCCUAGCGGCAGCAAGUCUCCCUCUGGAUCACAUGGGGGACCUGUUCCUGCCUCUUCGGCCCAGAUAAAGAGGCACGCUGCUUCUGUCAAUCUUCUCGUAAUCUCUUUCAUCUUUAUUUGAAAUUUUCACUAUCUAUUUCAUCAUUUAUCUUUUUUUUUUUUCAUUGGUAUCUAGCUAUUUCGUCAUUUCUCGUUAAACAAUGUGAAAGGGAUCAAUCCGUAUAUCAGGUUGGUGUAUAUAGUUGCCACAGAUUACGACUCUGAGUUGAUAUCGACUUCUAAAGAACAUUAGGCGAGAUAUCUUUCUUUGCUCAAAGUAUCCAACUUUCACAUGUAGCGUUUUUACCCAUUCACAGUUUGCAACUCUUGAUCUUCUAUGACUUGUUUCUAAAACCGGAUUCUUUGGUUCUUUUAUCCUUAAUUAAUCCUCCUGCAGUUAUCAAUAAAUAGAAAUUCUGUUCAAACUUCUAGUUUGUUGUGCUCUGCCUCCUCAGAUGAUCAACCUUUUAUGGGCUACAAUGAAAUUAGGCGUCCCAAAAUUCCUUUAACCAAAAACUAGUCGAAAAAAAAGAGACUCCAGGGGAUGUAAGUCUCUAUCAAUAUAAUUUAACCAAAAACUGCUUAAAUUAUUAUCGUAAGAGCAGUAGAGAUUGGCUAUCUGAUUCUAUAGAAUUUUUCUUCCAGUCUAUUUAUGGACUCACACUUCUUAUGAGCGAUAGUUCUAAGAAACUGCUUGACAUUCAUAUUCUUGGUGAACAAGGAAGGCGUCUUGUUUCAACUUCACUGGCCAAGAAUCGUGAGUUUCUUUCUGACCCACAGUAAUGAGAGAUAGGUGCUUUAACCAAAAGCUGGUGAAAACAAGGCUCCAAGGCAUGUAAGGGCAUCUCCAAUACAUGAUUUAUGAUUUAUGAGAGAUUUGUAAAAUCAAAAAAGUUAAAUAAAAAUCCUUGAACUAUUAUAGAGGUAA